GGUGUUUGCAGCCAGCCUCUGCUGCUGCUGGGGCAUCUGGGGCAGGGAGGUGAUUGAUCAGUCGAGCUUAAGCAGCACUUAAUUUGCUGUUAUUGAUCUUCCACCACAGGCAACAGAUACCAUGAUCCAAACCAGGCUGUUGGGCCAAGAUAAAAGGUACCUGCUUCUAAUUCCUUUGCUGACAACAUGGCUGGGCUCAUUGUGGUGGAGAAACCAACCCUACACGACGUGGGAAGAAGGCAAAGGAGAAUCCCUUGGUUUUCAGGGAGUGGUUUCCACUGUGUUCCAUCCAGACGUGCAACCAUCCCCUACUACUCCCUGCUCUGAUCUCAUCCUGGAGCCGGCUACAGGGGGCUGCCUGUGACACCAAGCAGGGCUGAGAAGGUGUUUCUGCAUUCUGGGUGAUGUUUAGACAUUCACACUUGUAAGAAUAAUAUUAUUUCUCCAAAAAAUCUUUGAGUGUGUUGGAGAUUAGUUUGGGUUUUGUGAUAUGCUGAAAGUUGGAAAGCAAUAAAGACUUUUCAUUGUGUAAAGUCAACAGACUAAGAAAGUAGCCAUCCCAGACUCAUUUGAUGCUAGAUAGUUGGGGGCAGUCCCCUGGGAGGCAGACAUGAAUUAAAUUUUAAAGGUGCAUCCCAGAAGUACACCCCGUUUCUCAGUCUGAGAUGACCACACAACCACUGAAACUGGGUAAAUGGGCUGAGGACAGUAGUUGCUUCUCUGGCUCUGCAUGCUCUGUAAAUAUCAGCUGAAUCAAGUGCUGUAGGUGAGAAAAGUGAAGGAAAACCUUGUUUUGUGGAUAUGGAUGGGAUUUUGUGUGGGCUAAACACCAACUGUUCAGCAUCUUUUGUGGAUGGAUCUAGCCCAACUGAUCAGAAGUGGCAUGUGCUGAGUGAAAAAAUACAUGUCUGAGGGAGUUCCUGGCCAUCAUUUUAUGGAUGAAAGGGAGAAGAAAAAGACAUUCCUGUGAGAUUCAUUUUCUUAGCAGGAAAAAGUUACCAGUGUUCUUCCCAGAGCCGUUUCAGGAGCCGUAAUUAUGCUUUUGUGUAUCAAAGGAGAAGAAUGUUUACACCUGACCAAGCCUCUGGGUAGAUGAGAUGUUCUGUCUUGGGAAAUUGUCACCUUCAGGGUGGCUGCUCUCACACAGCUAAUGCAGAGCACAAUUUUUCCCUGCAGUGUAGUUGUAGCAACCUGCCAGUGUUCACC